rnacentral:rRNA from 1 species
AUGAUCAGCACCAAGAAGGAUAGAUCAAUUGCAACUUUCAUCCAGGAGCAAAACCAACACAUUCGUCGCCAGGAGAACCAAAUGUGCACAGGCAUGAUAGAUCUGAAGAAGGCAUUGACCAAGAUCACGGAGCUCGAGGAAGAACUCAAGGCUACGCGCGAGGAUUAUAUGGAGGAAAUCGUCGCACUGGUGGAGAAGAAUGACGACCUGAUAAAGAAGAUCGGAGUAUUCAUGGGAGACCCAGCACCAGGAGGAGAAGACGAUGAUUGCGCUUGCCCGGAUAACUACAUCAUCAUCGACGACACCGACUCGGACCCUAGUGAAGAUGACUUUGUUGAUGAAGCUGGAGCAGAUAUCAUGGAGUCUUCGACCGAUCAAAAUUUCUAG